ACCCCGAGAGGGGAGUGAAAUAGACCUGAAACCGUGUACGUACAAACAGUCGGAGUAUCGAUUUAUCGAUAUGACGGCGUGCCUUUUGAAGAAUGAACCUGCGAGUUACUGGGACGUGGCAAGGUUAAUCUGCUAAGCAGAGGAGCCGAAGCGAAAGCGAGUCUGAAUAGGGCAUUCAGUCGCGUUCCGUAGACCCGAAACCAGGCGAGCUACCCAUGGCCAGGUUGAAGCUCAGAUAGUCUCUGAGUGAAGGACCGAACCCAUUUCAAGUACAAAUGGAUGGGAUGAGUUGUGGGUAGAGGUGAAAUGCCAAUCGAGCUUGGAAAUAGCUGGUUCUCCCCGAAAUGCAUUUAGGUGCAGCGUUGAAGAUUGACUUGAGGAGGUAAGGCUCUGGAUGGGUCAGGGGGUGCAAACUUACCGAUCCCAACCAAACCAAGAAUGCCUUAAGCUCGUACUUCGGCAGUGAGACAGUGGGGGAUAAGCUCCAUUGUCGAGAGGGAAACAGCCCAGACCACCGUCUAAGGUCCCCAAGUAUAUACUCAGUGUGAAAGGAAGUUGAAUCGCCAAAACAGCCAGGAGGUUGGCUUAGAAGCAGCCACCCUUUAAAGAGUGCGUAAUAGCUCACUGGUCGAGGGGUUCUGCGCCGACAAUUUAACGGGGCUUAAGUAUAUCACCGAAGACGUGGCAUCAGUUUACUGAUGGGUAGGGGAGCGUUCUGUAGGCAGUGAAGUCUAGUUGUAAAGCUAGGUGGAGCGUACAGAAGUGAGAAUGCAGGUAUGAGUAGCGUAUAUCUCGGUGAGAAUCCGAGACGUCGAAAAUCUGAGGAUUCCUACGCAACGUUUAUCGACGUAGGGUUAGUCGGUCCUAAGGUGUAUCCGAAAGGAGUAACCGAUGGACAGUAGGUCAAAAUUCCUACACCACCUAUUAUUCGUUUUAAUACAAAGGGGGGACACGGAAAGGUAGGCUGAGCGUGCCUAAUGGACAUGGUGCGUUCUUCUUUGAAGGCCAUCUCGCAAGACAUGUAAAUCAGUUAGCGAGGUUAUGAGCUGAGGAAGGAGAGAACUCUAGGGCUCGCCCUGGGGAAUUCGGUUGAACCUAUGCCGUCAAGAAAAGCCUCGUUGUAAGGAUAAUGGGUGACCGUACCGUAAACCGACACUGGUAGAUGAGCAUGAAAGUGCUAAGACGGUCGAGAGAACUCUGGUUAAGGAACUCGGCAAAAGGACCCCGUAACUUCGGGAUAAGGGGUUCCCUCGGGGUGAAGUCUAUUUACUAGACCAGCUCUAGAGGGACACAGCAAAUUGGCCCAAGCGACUGUUUAUCAAAAACACAGGUCUCUGCUAAGGGGUAACCCUAGGUAUAGAGGCUGACGCCUGCCCAGUGCCGGAAGGUUAAAGGGAAAGGUUAUCCGUAAGGAGAAGCUUUGAACUGAAGCCCCGGUGAACGGCGGCCGUAACUAUAACGGUCCUAAGGUAGCGAAGUCCCUUGUCGGGUAAGUUCCGACCCGCACGAAUGGCGUAACGACUUGGGCGCUGUCUCAACCAGAGACUCGGCGAAAUUGCAUUGGCCGUGAAGAUGCGGCCUACCCGCGACAGGACAAAAAGACCCCAUGGAGCUUUACUACAGCUUGGCAUUGAAUUGAGGACUGGAAUGUGUAGGAUAGGUGGGAGGCUUUGAAGCUUCGGCGCUAGUCGAAGUGGAGCCGUUGUUGAAAUACCACUCUUUUCUGUUGUUGAUUCUAACCUGUGAUAGGCACAGGGACCGUGUCUGGUGGGUAGUUUGACUGGGGCGGUCGCCUCCCAAAGAGUAACGGAGGCGUACAAAGGUUCGCUCAGGACGGAUGGAAAUCGUCCGAAGAGUGCAUUGGCAUAAGCGAGCUUGACUGUGAGACCUACAAGUCGAGCAGGUGCGAAAGCAGGUCAAAGUGAUCCUACGGUUCCGCAUGGAAGGGCCGUGGCUUAACGGAUAAAAGCUACCCUGGGGAUAACAGGCUUAUCUUGCCCAAGAGUUCACAUCGACGGCAAGGUUUGGCACCUCGAUGUCGGCUCGUCGCAUC
rnacentral:rRNA from 1 species